UCUCCCAAACCAUUGAGCAGCCGCUGCUGCUGUUGUUCAAAAGACAGGAAACCAACAAGGAAGAACAUCAAGCAUUUGGAUGCCGCAUCGACAAAGGCUUGGAUUAAUUAGCCACUGGAAUGACUUCUGUGCUUCUAGAUAGAUUCACGUGAAUGGCAAUGGCAGAGAUCUGAGUGGAAAUAGGAGUUCCUGGAAAUUUUGCCUUUUUUCUCUUUUGAGAGAUAACUGUGCUAUACUUCAAACUAGCUUGUUUACUGUGUGUCCAGCUUUUUGUGAAACUGUUUUUUAUCCUUUGUUAGGUUGUUAAUAAGCACAGGGGUUUAAGGUUUUCAAAAUUUCCAUCAAUCCCAACAUAAAUAACAGUACAAACAGUUUUUAUUUUAGCUUGGAGCACAUUUUGUUAUAGUGAAUUAGGCUAGCUAAUGAACUGCAGAAUGGUAUGUUCUUGCAUUAUGAUGUCUUUUCAACUUGUGUGAACUCUUAUUCCUUGUCCCUGCUCUCUUUCUCUCCAUAAGAUUUCAAAUAAAGGAGCCCAUUGUCUUGGUGGGCACUUAGGCGAUAUAUACACUUUUGAAGCAAUGGUUGCAAUUUCUAAUUUCAUUCUGUUUGAUCAUGAAUUUGUAACUUCCUUUUACAUUUCCAGGUUACAAUAUCUUCUUUCAAGUGCAGGUUUAAGUGCAAAUCACACUAUGUAUAUAACUGUUUGAUUUAGUUCUUCAAUCUGAAUUGUGAAAGAAAAAAUAUAGAUCAUAUGGAUAUCUAAUAUCUAUCGAUGUGUUGUUCCUAAAAUGUAUCUCUGAGAAUUUAUGAUACCACUGCAACAAUUAGAAAGCUUAUCAAAAGUUAUUAAUUUCUACUUGAUGUAUGAUUCUUUGAACAUCUAGCUUACAUUUCAGUGGAGUUUUUUUAAAAAUAGUGCAAGUAACCUCAAUCAUCUAUUGUAUAGGAAUUUCUGACCAUAUAUAACUUGUUUGCUUAAAUUGUGUAUAGAAAAUGAUUUUACUUCUAUUAUAAAGAAUGUGAGUGUGUCUGUGUGUGUGUGUAUGUGAGAGAGAGAGGCUCUUUGAAUGGUCUUUGAAUUCUUUAUCUGAAAUUUGGUUUCUCAGACGCAAAUCGGGUUGAAUCGCAUGAUGUUUAUCUUUUCCUGAUACCUAUAAGCCUUUAUAUGAGAAUAUUAUUAAGAAUUGGGUGAGAAAUUAUAUAGAAGAUGAAUAAUAAAAUGAUUAGAGGUCCUCGUGAAUAUUAUUAAGAGUUGGAUGCGUUUAUGGAACAGUGGCAGGCAUGUGGGGCUUCUAGAAAGGAAGAAAACAUUUAGUGCGUGGAAGGGACUGUGGGCAGUGUGGAAUCCUUACUGUUUGGUCUGGUUUGCUUGCACAGGAUAAGAUCCAGCAUAGGAGAGUAUUUAUUGGCUUCAACUUUGACUCUGGUAUUCUCAAUUGGCAUCUCUUGAUGGGUCUACUGCAUAAUGAAGGAAGUGAGUUGCUGGGCAGCUGUCUCAAUUUCGUGGGGUUGGGAACUUAAUCUCUUGGGCUUGCUUUGUGGAUUCCUCUCCAAUUUGAGGGGAACUGAAGGUGAACAAUGACUACUUCAGAGGAUCAUGAUUGUUUAUUUGUUAGGAACUGAAGGUGAACAAUGACUACUUCAGAGGAUCCACUGUCAGUUCUCUGAUCAAUUGCUUGGAGGAGCUCAAUCUCUGUUUAUGUAGUUAAGAAGACACUUGGGCAGUGACACUGCUCUGGUUUCUCUGAUUAUUAUGUUGGUUUUGAUGGGGAUUUAUGAUAUUGAAGAACAAGUAUUUGAGGAGAUAAGGAGAUUGCUGUCUAUUAUGGAAAUCUAUGAGUGGCAAGUGGUGGACUUGGAUUGAAGGUUUUGCAUAAUUCAACUUUUAUGUAGGGAAGAUAAAGUCUAUAGUCACAACGACUGUCAUGACAUCGUGUAUCAAUCGAAAGAGAGAAAUCAUUGCAGUAGUGUGGAUGUUAGGGAAAGAGGGAAAAGAUUAUAUAUGCAACAUGAAGAGACUUGAAGGGAUCUUUUUAUAUAAUUUGUCUUUUUAAGAUAAUGAAUUCCUUUUAUGUCACUUCUCCUUAAGUGUAUGUUACUACUUUUUUAUGUUGGUUAUAUUAUUUCAAGAUUUUGUUUGAAAAACAUAUUAUAGAAGAUCAGUGGAAGGUAGUUUAUGCACUACUGCUGAGGUGUUUUUGUAAAUUUUAUAUAUAUUGCACAACAGCAGCUUUAUGUUCAAUUAGGUCUUAUAUUGCGAUCAUAUCUGCAACUAUAAUAGAUGUAUUAGUUCUGUCUUGUGAAAAUAAAUGAGUUUCAUGCUUCUACAAGAUAA